rnacentral:snRNA from 1 species
GCUCCCUUUGGCAGCGCAUGGACUGAUUGAAAUGAUGCAAAGAUUAGCAUGGCCUCUGUGACAGAAUGACAUGUAAAUUCAUGAAGUGUUCUCUAGUUGU